rnacentral:rRNA from 1 species
AGCAGCCGCGGUAAUUCCAGCUCCAAUAGCGUAUAUUAAAGUUGUUGCAGUUAAAAGGCUCGUAGUUGAAUUUCGGGGUUCUACCGUUGGUCGGGCUUUGUCUGUACUGGCGUGUGGAAUUUCUACCUUCUGGGGAACCAUCAUGUUAUUAAUUUAACGUGGUGGGAAACCAGGACCUUUACCUUGAAAAAAUUAGAGUGUUCAAAGCAGGCUUAUGUCUGAAUACAUUAGCAUGGAAUAAUAAAAUAGGACGGUGGUCCUGUUUUGUUGGUUUCUGAAUCACCGUAAUGAUUAAUAGGGAUAGUUGGGGGCAUUAGUAUUCAAUUGUCAGAGGUGAAAUUCUUGGAUUUAUUGAAGACUAACUUCUGCGAAAGCAUUUGCCAAGGAUGUUUUCAUUAAUCAAGAACGAAAGUUAGGGGAUCGAAGACGAUCAGAUACCGUCGUAGUCUU